CGCUCCCUGAGUCUUAUAGGGAGUCUGACCUGCCCGGUGAAAAAUUUAACGGCCGCGGUACUUUGACCGUGCGAAGGUAGCGUAAUCAUUUGCCCUAUAAUUGAGGGCUUGUAUGAAUGGUUUGACGAGAGUUAGACUGUCUCAAUCUAAUUUUUUAGAACUUAACUUUUAGGUGAAAAGGCCUAAAUAGAAUUAAAAGACGAGAAGACCCUAUCGAGCUUAUAAUAAUUUUGGUGAAUUUGCUAAUGAGUUUUUAGUUGGGGCAACUAGGGAACAAGAAAAGCUUCCCUUAAUAAUUUUAUUGGCUAAUAUUGAUCCACUAGUAGUGAUAAAGGUUAAGUUACCGUAAGGAUAACAGCGUAAUUUUUCUUGAGAGUUCUUAUCGAUAUAGGUUUGCGACCUCGAUGUUGGACUAAAGUUCCGAAAGAUGCAGAAG
rnacentral:rRNA from 1 species